rnacentral:misc_RNA from 1 species
GAUGAAGAACGCAGCGAAAUGCGAUAAGUAGUGUGAAUUGCAGAAUUCAGUGAAUCAUCGAAUCUUUGAACGCACCUUGCGCCCUUUGGCCAUUCCGAAGGGCAUGCCUGUUUGAGUAUCAUGAACACCUCAACUCUUUAUGGUUUUCCAUGAUGAGCUUGGACUCUGGGGGUUUUGCUGGCUCACAGUCGGCUCCUCUGAAAUGAAUCAGCUUACCAGUGUUUGGUGGGUAUCAUAGGUGUGAUAACUAUCUACGCUUGUGGUUUUUCCACCAGGUAACCUUCAGCAGUGGAGGUUCGCUGGAGCUCAUAGAUGUCUCUCCUCAGUGAGGACAGCCCUUUGAAUGUUUGAUCUCAAAUCAGGUAGGACUACCCGCUGAACUUAAGCAUAUCAAUAAGCGGAGGA